rnacentral:rRNA from 1 species
GACGAACGCUGGCGGCGUGCUUAACACAUGCAAGUCGAACGGUGAAGCUCCAGCUUGCUGGAGUGGAUCAGUGGCGAACGGGUGAGUAACACGUGAGCAACCUGCCCCUGACUCUGGAAUAAGCGCUGGAAACGGCGUCUAAUACUGGAUACGAGAAGGGCCCGCAUGGGCACUUUCUGUAAAGUUUUACGGUUGGGGAUGGGCUCGCGGCCUAUCAGCUUGUUGGUGAGGUAAUGGCUCACCAAGGCGACGACGGGUAGCCGGCCUGAGAGGGCGACCGGCCACACUGGGACUGAGACACGGCCCAGACUCCUACGGGAGGCAGCAGUGGGGAAUAUUGCACAAUGGGCGAAAGCCUGAUGCAGCGACGCCGCGUGAGGGAUGACGGCCUUCGGGUUGUAAACCUCUUUCAGCAGGGAAGAAGCGAAAGUGACGGUACCUGCAGAAGAAGCACCGGCUAACUACGUG